GCCUGGGUGGCUCAGUCAGUUAAGCGUCUGACUUCAGCUCAGGUCAUGAUCUCACGGUCUGUGAGUUCGAGCCCCAUGUCAGGCU
rfam:Felis catus isolate Cinnamon breed Abyssinian chromosome X, whole genome shotgun sequence.